rnacentral:lncRNA from 1 species
UGAAAUAUUUAUUGACAUUACAAAAUCUUUAGACACUAAAAAGUUUGUAUGAUGACAUUAAUGUAUAUUAUCUUGUUUGGAUCACAAGAACUCAGUUAUCACCCUUGUUUGUUGCUUCUUCAACAUCAGAUAUAUCAUAAAACAAAGAUAAAUAACUCUCACACAAAACAAACAGCUACUCAAUAGGUUCCCUCAAAACAGGCAACAAGUGUUGAAUCUUGCAACUUAUCUUAACUUAUAUAAUUUAUCAUUCCACAUAACUGUCAUACAUUGAAGCAAAACAUUUCAAAAUUCAUACAUUAGGAAAACAUAGUCAAAAUAAAUAAAAUACCUGUCACUUUAAAUGAAAAAUAAUAUGUGAAACAAAACUGUUGAUGAACUCUUCCAUCAUAGAAAACAAAACAUGAACUCAACACUCAAUAAUGAACUCAAAACUACACUGGCAGCAUGCGUUAAGAAAAACAGAGCCAAAAUAAUUAUGCUACAUGUUAUCUCCCCUUAAACUGAAAAUUUCUUUAAAAUGAAUGAGUUACAAUAUGUAUUGAAUUAAUGCCCGACACUUCAAAUGAAACAAUGUAAAACUAACCUAUUGAUGAUCUCUUCAUCAUGUAAAACAAAUAACGAACUCAAUACUCAAUAAUGAACUCAAUACGAUCAUGGCAUUAUACUUUUAAUAGGAAAACAUAGCAAAAACAAGAAUGUGUCCUCAGUACACGAAUGCCCCACUCGCACUAUCAUUUUCUAUGUUCAGUGAACCGUGAAAUUGGGGUAAAAUCUCUAAUUUGGCAUUAAAAUUAGAAAGAUCAUAUCAUA